ensembl:misc_RNA Metazoa_SRP Metazoan signal recognition particle RNA
GCUGGGCAUGGUGGUGCAUGCCUGUAGUUCCAGCUACUCAGGAGGCUGAGGCAGGAGGAUUGCUUGAGCCCAGGGGUUAAGGCUGCAGUGAGCUAUAAUUGAGCCACUGCACUCCAGCCUGGGUGACAGAGUGAGACCCUGUCUCAA